rnacentral:lncRNA from 1 species
GUGAAGGUGAAGACAUUGAGCUGGAAUCCGGACAACUAUGUCCGCAAAACCAAGUUGGACUUACAGAUUAUUCCAAGAAACUGUGAUCCUACCUUACAUCCUUUUGAGGUCCUGCAAGAAUGUGUAAGAGUUUUAAAUGCUACCAAACUGGAAGGAGUAUUUGCAAAACCAUGCCUGGCUUGGCUGGAUGGUCACGAGAUGGAGUGAGUUGCUUGGCAAAGCAUCCAAAGAUCCUGGCUACUCUCCUUUCUAGGGGAUGUGAUGGAGCAGUUAGAAUUUGGAACCUGACUCAGCUGAAAUGUAUCCGUAUAAUACAAGCACAUGAAGGUUUUGUACAGGGAAUACGUGCUCACUUUUGUGGGACUUCUUUUUUCACUGUUGGUGAUGACAAAACUGUGAAGCAGUGGAAAAUGGAUGGGCCAGGCUACGGAGAGGAGGAAGGGCCAUUACAUACAAUAUUAGGAAAGACAGUGUAUACUGGGAUUGAUCAUCACUGGAAAGAAGCUGUUUUUGCCACAUGUGGACAGCAAGUAGACAUUUGGGAUGAACAAAUAACUAAUCCUAUAAGUUCAAUGACCUGGAGAUUUGACAGUAUAAGUAGUGGUAAAUUUAAUGCAAUUGAGACAUUUAUCUUGGGAAGUUGUGCUUCCGACAGGACUACAGUACUGUAUGAUAUGAGGCAAGCUACUCCUCUGAAAAAGGUUAUCUUAGAUAUGAGAACAAAUACAGUCUGUUGAAACCCUAUGGAAGCUUUCAUUUUUAUGGCAGCAAAUGAUGAUUAUAACUUAUUUACUUUUGAUAUGCGUGCACUCAUGUAAUGGUCCAUAUGGAUCAUGUAUCUGCAGUGCUUGAUGUGGAUUACUCUCCCACUGGGAAAGAGUUUGUGUCUGCUAGUUUCAAUAAAUCUAUUUGAAUCUUUCCUGUAGAUAAAAGUCAAAGCAGGGAGGUAUAUCACACAAAGUGAAAGCAACAUGUUAUGUGUGUAAAAUGGACUUCUGACAGCAAGUAUAUUAUGUAUGGAUCUGAUGAAAUGAACAGUUACCUAUGGAAAGCUAAUGCUUCUGCAAAAUUUGGUAUGCUUACAUCACAAGAAAAAGCAGCCAAGUAUUAUAACCAGAAACUGAAGGAGAAAUUUCAGCGUCAUCCUCAUAUACAACCGAUAGCUCGUCAUUGACAUCUACCAAAUUCUGUCUACAGCCCAAUUCAGGAACAGUGCAUCAUGAAAGAAGCUUGUCGAUGAGAGGAAGUGAAUCACGUUAAACACAGCAAGCCUGGAUCUGUGCCAAUUGUGUCAGAGAAGAAGAAACACAUAGUGGCAGUUGUAAAAUAA